AGAAGGGGGACGAGCCUGACCCUCGGCACUGGCGGAAAACGGCUGUGGCUGCUUCGUUCCCGACCUGACCAGGUUGACCGCGCCACCAUGCGAGGAGGCCCGUC
rnacentral:SRP_RNA from 1 species